CAGCCGCCGCGGUAAUACGAAGGGUGCAAGCGUUAAUCGGAGUUACUGGGCGUAAAGCGUGCGUAGGCGGUGAGUUAAGUCUGCUGUGAAAUCCCCGGGCUCAACCUGGGAAUGGCAGUGGAUACUGGCUCGCUAGAGUGUGUCAGAGGAUGGUGGAAUUCCCGGUGUAGCGGUGAAAUGCGUAGAGAUCGGGAGGAACAUCAGUGGCGAAGGCGGCCAUCUGGGACAACACUGACGCUGAGGCACGAAAGCGUGGGGAGCAAACAGGAUUAGAUACCCGCGUAGUCCCUGUCUCUUAUAC
rnacentral:rRNA from 1 species